rnacentral:tRNA from 1 species
ACAAGACGUAGCUUAUUCCCCAAAGCAUCCGGCUUACACCCGGAAGAUUUCACAACCUAUGAACGUUUUGA